UAGGGUUUGAUUAUGGCUCAGGAUGAACGCUGGCGGCGUGCUUAACACAUGCAAGUCGAACGAACCUUCGGGUUAGUGGCGGACGGGUGAGUAACGCGUGGGAAUCUGCCCUCAGGAGGGGGAUAACGGUUGGAAACGGCCGCUAAUACCCCAUAUGCCGAGAGGUGAAAUGAAUUUCGCCUGAGGAUGAGCCCGCGUCUGAUUAGCUAGUUGGUGAGGUAAGAGCUCACCAAGGCAUCGAUCAGUAGCAGGUCUGAGAGGAUGAUCAGCCACCAUGGGACUGAGACACGGCCCAGACUCGUACGGGAGGCAGCAGUGGGGAAUUUUCCGCAAUGGGCGAAAGCCUGACGGAGCAACGCCGCGUGAGGGAUGAAGGCCUCUGGGCUGUAAACCUCUUUUAUCAAGGAAGAAGAUCUGACGGUACUUGAUGAAUAAGCCACCCCGAAUUCCGUGCCAGCCGCCGCGGUAAUACACUA
rnacentral:rRNA from 1 species